GCGGGUGUGGCGGAACUGGUAGACGCAGCAGGUUUAGGUCCUGCCGCCGCAAGGCGUGGGGGUUCAAGUCCCUUCACCCGCACCA
rnacentral:tRNA from 1 species